GGAAGGGUGGCAGAGCGGCCGAAUGCGCCGGUUUCGAAAACCGGUAGGGGUGAAAGCCCCUCCAGGGUUCAAAUCCCUGUCCUUCCG